rnacentral:rRNA from 1 species
GUGGGAAUCUGCCUGGUAGUGGGGGACAACAGUCGGAAACGACUGCUAAUACCGCAUACGCCCUACGGGGGAAAGCGGGGGAUCUUCGGACCUCGCGCUAUUAGAUGAGCCCGCGCUGGAUUAGCUUGUUGGUGGGGUAAUGGCCUACCAAGGCGACGAUCCAUAGCUGGUCUGAGAGGAUGAUCAGCCACACUGGGACUGAGACACGGCCCAGACUCCUACGGGAGGCAGCAGUGGGGAAUAUUGGACAAUGGGCGAAAGCCUGAUCCAGCCAUGCCGCGUGUGUGAAGAAGGCCUUAGGGUUGUAAAAU